ACAAAUUUUUUACCUCAAUGGAGCAAUGUUUUCAAAUUUGGAAUUGGAGGGAAAAUGGAAUGAAGGAAUGAUGAAAGGGCCUUAAAAUGGACCGCAAAUGCAAGGCCCAUGUUGUUUAAGCCCAAAACGGAGUCAAACAAAAAACAACAUUGCUGGCAGAAUUCAUUCACGUUCAAUUCAAACAACAAUAACAUGGUCACGUCACUUUCAGGUUUCAGAAUUGUUCUUCUUUUAGCAAAUGAGAUUAAUCUUCACAUCUCAAAAACAACACCUAUCACUAUUAUGUGAAACAUCCUUCUCUCUUCACAGCUUUGAAACAAAACACAAAUCAAUUCCCCCAUCUUCCAAAAUUCAAAUUUUGAAUCUCAAACCUCCCCCUAUUUCUCUUUUUUUUGACCUCUUCUCCCUCUGCUAUUCCUUGAAUUGGUUCUCUUCUGCAUAAAUGAAUGAACCACAACGACUUCGUCCGAACCGCCAUGGACAAGGACACAGCGUUGGAACCGGUUCAAGAGGUAUCUAAAGGGUUUCUCUAAAAAACAGUGGUCCUAAUUUGUUUUCUAAUUUCAAUCAAAGUUGGGGAUUUCAUACUACCAAGAUUGAUGAGAAAGUGGCAAGAGAGAUUAUAAGCCACAAGUCCCUUUGUCACUGUUAACUACAUUGUUAAGGAGAGUCUUUGAACGUUGGAUGGUGUGAUAGAGCUGCUGAUGUUGGAUUUCGAGUGAUGAGUUUCAAUGCCCCUUUUUUGAGAUCCUGUGGAGAUCCCUUGGAGUGAUUUUGGUGUUGUUUAUGUCAUAGAGUCUUCAGGAGUUUUUACAACAUUAGAGAAAGCUUCAUCACAUUUGAAGGUUGUGGAUUUAGUGUUUUCUCUAUCUUCUCCAUUGCUGAGACAUCUUCACAUCAAUUGGUAUUGAAGUAUCUGAUUUUAUAGUGAGUAUACAAAAGUCUUUCUAUCUUUCAUACAUUAUUGUCAGAGGUAAAAGCUUAAUGUUUUUGGUAAUGAUAAUUGUUUUCGCAUUUAUUGAUCAAACUGUAGUUUCUAAUCUUCUUUGCACAAAUUUUUGGUGUAUCUUAAUCUUUUUGGUGUAUCUUAAUCUUCAGCUUUGCAAGUUGAAAGGCUUCCUCAAAUAGGAAGGUUUCAACUUGCUUCUCAAUCCCUUUCUUAUUUUAUGAUUUGAUUACAUAUUAUGUUUUUUUAUUUUUUUAUUUUUUAUGUUUUAUUGUUUGUUCAGGUUCGCAAAUUGGGGUUUGAUUGAGUAAUUUUUAUGAACUUUAAUUGAUUGCUUCAUCUUUUCUCAAUGUUUUUUUUUCCUUCCUUUUUACUGCUUAUUGUAAUAGUUUCAAUUAUAACAUGAUGCAAAGUGGGAAAACUUCUUUUUAUUUUAUUUCCUUCGAUUCUGAUUUUUGCAUUUUCUUUCGUUAUUUCGUACUUCCAGUUCUCCUCUUGGUUUCUUUGUUGUUGUGAAGAGAAUGGAGUUUAAAGGAAAAAAAAGAAGAGAAAGAAUAUUUCCCCUUUCUACUUGCUGUUCAUCUCUUUCAUCUCUCCAUCUUCACAAAAACUUCCAUUUUGGUGAAAAAUCAAAAAAGUUGUGCAAAUUUGACUAAUUUACCAAUGCUUUCAAAUUUCAAAAUCCCUCCAAAAAUUUCAAAAACAACUAUUAUCUUUGUGACUAUUCUCUUUCCUCCAUUUCAUCUACAAGGAUUCUCCCUCUUUGUUUUUUUUCUUUUUCUCAUCCAUCUCUGUUUUUCACCUUACAAUAAGGAACGAAGAAGCAGUGCAGUGGCGACCUCCAGUUUGAGGAGUUUGGUGGUUGAUGAAAGUGAGAUUUUGUUGAUUUUCAAAGUUGGAUCCUUUACCGCUAGAAAAGGCAGACAAACAGGGUGUAAAUGUUGCUGCAGUUUUUGAAUUUAUUCUCCACUUAAUUGGUGCAAUUCCACAUCAAACACUUUUGUAGCACAAGCAAAAGCUAGAUAUAAUAACAAAACGAGGUGUAGUCUUGGCUAAAAAAAGGAAGGAGCAGCAAAGCCAGAUUUAGCACACACAUGUGCAUAUACUUUUAUCUAUUUUUUGGUAUUUCAAGGACCAACCAUGUGUAUAGUCACUGCUUGGAGAUCUGGGGGCAAGAGUUAGUGUGGUGGUGGUGUAAGGUGGUUCUUUGAAUAUCUGGUAAAAGACAUAGUAGUGGAAGUGGUGGAAGGUGAUGCUAGAAAUGUUCUCUGUGAUGCUGUGGAGAAGCACCAUGCUUCAAUAUUGGUUCUUGGUAGUCAUGGUUAUGGAGCUAUAAAAAGGGCGGUAUUAGGUAGUGUAAGGACUACUGUGCUCAUCAUGCUCAUUGUACUGUGAUGAUUGUGAAGAAGCCAAAAACCAAACACUGAUCUCAUUGGCUGCGUGCGUCUAAAUUGUCCUACAGCAAUCAGAAUAUAUAUUUUCAACAAAAGGAAGCAUGAAUGUUCUUUAAAGUUUUCACUAAGUUGUUUGUUCCAUGUCAUAUUGACUCUAUAGAAUAAGGUUCAUUUCACAUUUUAUUAUGUUUUAAAUACUAAAAUUAGAACGGGAUUUCUCCCUGUCCCAGCCAGUAGCCACCCUGGUACUUAUUUUGAUUAUGAUCAGAUUUUGUAAAUGUGACAGUUCUAUGCAUAAGCGAGUAAGAAUCAUAUGUAUGCCAUGAUUUUGUUCAUUCCUUAA